rnacentral:rRNA from 1 species
GAUGAACGCUGGCGGCGUGCUUAACACAUGCAAGUCGAACGAUGAAGCCCAGCUUGCUGGGUGGAUUAGUGGCGAACGGGUGAGUAACACGUGAGUAACCUGCCCUUGACUCUGGGAUAAGCGCUGGAAACGGCGUCUAAUACCGGAUACGAGCUUCCACCGCAUGGUGAGUUGCUGGAAAGAAUUUCGGUCAAGGAUGGACUGGCGGCCUAUCAGGUAGUUGGUGAGGUAACGGCUCACCAAGCCGACGACGGGUAGCCGGCCUGUGAGGGUGACCGGCCACACUGGGACUGAGACACGGCCCAGACUCCUACGGGAGGCAGCAGUGGGGAAUAUUGCACAAUGGGCGCAAGCCUGAUGCAGCAACGCCGCGUGAGGGACGAAGGCCUUCGGGUCGUAAACCUCUUUUAGCAGGGAAGAAGCGAAAGUGACGGUACCUGCAGAAAAAGCACCGGCUAACUACGUG